CGUAGGUGGCGAGCGUUAUCCGGAAUUAUUGGGCGUAAAGAGGGAGCAGGCGGCACUAAGGGUCUGUGGUGAAAGAUCGAAGCUUAACUUCGGUAAGCCAUGGAAACCGUAGAGCUAGAGUGUGUGAGAGGAUCGUGGAAUUCCAUGUGUAGCGGUGAAAUGCGUAGAUAUAUGGAGGAACACCAGUGGCGAAGGCGACGAUCUGGCGCAUAACUGACGCUCAGUCCCGAAAGCGUGGGAGCAAAUAGGAUU
rnacentral:rRNA from 1 species